rnacentral:rRNA from 1 species
GUAGGGAAUAUUGGACAAUGGGUGAGAGCCUGAUCCAGCCAUGCCGCGUGCAGGAAGACGGCCUUCUGGGUUGUAAACUGCUUUUAUCUGGGGAUAAAAAGGCCUUGCGAGGCAAACUGAAGGUACCAGAUGAAUAAGCCACGGCUAACUACGUGCCAGCAGCCGCGGUAAUACGUAGGUGGCAAGCGUUGUCCGGAUUUAUUGGGUUUAAAGGGUGCGUAGGCGGCUUAUUAAGUCAGUGGUGAAAGACGGUAGCUUAACUAUCGAGGUGCCAUUGAUACUGAUGAGCUUGAGUACAGUUGAGGUAGGCGGAAUGGACGGUGUAGCGGUGAAAUGCAUAGAUAUCGUCCAGAACACCGAUAGUGAAGACAGCUUACCAAGCUGUAACUGACGCUGAGGCACGAAAGUGUGGGGAUCAAACAGGAUUAGAAACCCGUGUAGUCC